UAUGAGCAUUCCAGCGUCCUCGUCCCUGUCUGCCUGUUUCCUGACCCCUGUGUUUCUUCUGAGCCUACCCGUGAACGAACUUGGACUGGACCCGGACUCUCCCUGUUGGACCUCCCUUCUGUACCGCCGCCGGAUAAUUGCCCUCUGUGUACUGGACCUGGACUCCCCCGGAUUACGCCUCUGGAAAGCCCCUGUCGGAUCCCUGCCUGUUCGCCCGCUACCCUCCACUCCCGGAUCAGUUCGCUUGGGUUUCUGCCGGCUCUCCGGACCCAGCUACCCCAACUUCAGGGGUUAACCACACUAAGCGCGAGCUACUGCGCGUGGAGAGGGCGAGUCCACUUCCUGCUUGUAAAUAAAAACAUUGAAAACGCCACUGACCUGUGUCGGCUG